UCGUCAUUAUGCUGUGAUGGUCGGUUCCCACUGUGCAAAUGUCACCAGAGUCCUCUCCCUGUGUCACCUCUGUCUGCUCCCUGCUGUCCCCUCUGACACCUCUGGGACCCUCCCUGCCCUUUCUCUGACAAGGAACCCUGAUCAGUUUUAAAUAUUGUCCUGAAUGACGGUUUGAGCCAACCAGUAACCUUCAACUCAUCAUCAAGGUGUCUUUGUCCCGGAGAGGUUGUGUUACGAAGAGGCGGUGGACAUCUUCCAGACUGACAAAAUGCUGCGUACACAGAGAACCACCAAAGUGCAGACUGAGCAACUCAACUCAAAAGACUUCAGC